UUUAAACAAAUAAUAAUAAUAAUAAUAAUAAUAAUAAUAAAGAAAGAAGAAAAAUGCGAGAGAAAGGGAGAAAGAAGAGAAGUCGACCGGGAAAAGGCCGUUGGGUAGUCCGGCAAUUGCAAUCUUCUUAUUUUAUUUUGCUUGCGCCGCCUUUUAUUUUUGUUUAGUUAAGCUCUGGUUUUUCCCAUCCCCUGCCUAAGUUUUUUGUCUUUUAUUUUUUUGUUGGCUUUUCGGCAAUGGUCUUCCCUCGCCUCCGUUGAUGUUUUAGUUGUGUUUUCUUUUCUUGUCACAGAUCCAGGGUUUCCAUGGAGAGGACUUUAUGGAUCUGUGGUUUGGAUGUGGGUUUCUUUUUUUUUCUUUUUUCUGGAUGCCGCUGGUGUUGAUGGAGGUGCUGGAGUCCAGUAAAUAUUUCGGCGCUAGAGCAUGAUGUCUCCUUAAAACUGAUCCAUGACUAUUAUAGACUGCAACUGUCAUGAGCCAACACUCUUCUUCAUUUCAUGCCAUGGACAAUUCUGGAUUGCCCGGAUCAGAGUGGGAAGCCUAUGGUUUGUAUGGAUGCUGGGUCAAUGAGCGAUAUUGAAGUGUUGUUAUGUUGUAGUGUCAAUUUUGAAUGAUUGUUUGAACAGUUUUUGCGGCUGUGCCUGUUUCUAUUUGUUUUCCCAGCGUGUUUGCUCUGCUUGUUUUCUUCUUCUAUUAAUGCAAGCUUGGUUGGGCGGUUUUGACUUUGUGCAUGAUUCUCAAGGCAAGCGACAGCACAGUGAGUCUGGCAUCUGUGGCAGUGAGUACCUGCAUGUUUGCAACGUGUCCAAUCUGAAUGUUGGGUUGUGGACUUUGUGGGUUCCUAUGCUUUGUUAGGCUUUUAUUAUGUUCAAGUUUGUUGCUUGUAGCUCUGUUGCAGCUCUGUUGUCCGACGGGUUUUCUAAUGCAAUAAAAAAAUAAGAAGUCAGCAGGAGAACAUUAAUCUGUUGACGAGGUUGCUCUUCAUGCCACUAUCAGUUUCUCAAGGCUUCCAAUAAUAAAAAGUUUAGAAUCUUGUGGUAUUUAUAAUAGUUUUGUAUAACUCGAGUCAGUUAUGAUCAUAAUUUUCUUUUUUCUUUUUCAAAAGAAUAAAGCCAUUUAUUUAUUAAUUAAAAAC
rnacentral:lncRNA from 1 species